rnacentral:lncRNA from 1 species
UUAGAAUCUUACAUCAAUGAAAUUCACUAUUUUUGCUAUAAUUGUUUGUUAUAUUUCUUUGAUGGUUAAUAUUCUUAGCUUGAUCUGUGAUGAUUAAUCCAUGAUUGCAUUUGAAGUAUCCCAGUGGCCAUGAGUAAGUUUUAAAAUCUGGUUAUCUUACAUUUUUUAUGCAACUUUUCGAUGAUGCAAAAACGGGGGAACAUGGUUGUGCUUUACACUUUGAACAGUAAUGUUUAUAACCUAAUGUACCUGGUCCUUGAUGAUAAGUAAUAAAACGGAAAACUGUUUCUAACAUUGUGUUGAUGUUGAGUUAAGUUGAAACAGGGCCUAAGCUUAUGAAAAGCACAGAGUUUGUCAUCAUCAAAAAGGAGGAAUUUGAUGGUCCAAGAAAAGGUUAAGUUUUGAAGAUUGACAAAAGAACUCAGGAUGAACCAGGUCCAUCCGGUAGUCCAUCCCUCGGGUUCAUAAAACGGGCAGAUUCAAGCAUGCGAGUUUCACGUGAAGGAGAUAAGCUUAACUUGGUGUAUUUAAUAUCUCCUGUUCGAAAAGGUUGCAUAAUUGAUAAGGAAAAGGAGUCUUUAAUCAAAGAGAACACUAUCCAAGAUAGGGAAGGAGUUAGAAGUUGAAAUCAACUAGAACUCUUCCACCAAGGAAGAGUUGCAUCAGAACUCUUCAUAAAACGGGCAGAUUCAAGCAUGCGAGUUUCACGUGAAGGAGAUAAGCUUAACUUGGUGUAUUUAAUAUUUCCUGAUCGAAAAGGUUGCAUAAUUGAUAAAGAGAAGGAGUCCUUAAUCAAAGAGAACACAAUCCAAGAUAGGGAAGGAGUUAGAAGUUGAAAUCAACUAGAACUCUUCCACCAAGGAAGAGUUAUCAAAGAGAACACUAUCCAAGAUAUGGAAGGAGUUAGAAGUUGAAAUUAACUAGAACUCUUCCACCAAGAAAGAGUUGCAUCAGAACUCUAGUUGUUUCUUCAUUUAAUAACUCUAUAAAUUGCAGAAUGUUCUCACAUUAAAGUGGUUGCACAAAAACGCAGAAGUUAAACGUGAAUUGAGAGCAAAAUAGCAAGGCUUUUUGCAAGCAGUUCGUAUGUAAUUCAAGAGUGCCAACCUGAAUCUACAUGAACCAUAUUGAAGAACAAGUUCUAUAAAGAAUUUUAUGUAUCUUUCUUAUUUCUACUUCAAUUGUACUAGGUGUUUUCAUAUUGUACCUUUCAGCUUUUAUAGAAGCAUUGUAAUAUGUAUGUGAGUAUUCAAGUUAGAGUUAACUUGAAGUUGUCGCAACAAUUAGAGGCUGAUUUCCACAACGGGAUUAGAGGUAAUCCUUAGGUUUACAAAGAGUUUUGUAAAUGAUGUUUUGGC